CCUGCCUUAGUCUGGACUCACCCCUGCCUUUUGCCUCAGACAGGGUGUAACAUCACAACUGGAUCUAUGAAGAUUAAUCCUCUGACAACAUCCAGGAAGUGUGACUUUGCUGGUUUGGACACCUAGAGAAGAUGAAUGAAGAGGAUCUGGUGAAGAUAGCAUGGCAGGAGAUGGUGGUAGGAAAGAGACACUGAGGAGGCAACAGAUGGAUUGCAUCAAAGGAGACGCUGUAAUGGAAUGUUUAUCCAGGAAGAAAACAAAUUUGCUGGGCACCAAUACGGUUCAGAGAGUGGCACAAGAUGACAUCUGUGGAGGAAAGGUCCUUUAUUGCUGAGGAAUCCUAGCUGCUCACUAGUUAUUGAGUUGGACAUAGAAUAAAUAACAGGAAGUUAUUAUUUUUGUGGCAGAGUUUUUUGGUGGGGCUCUUUAACUCACCGUAUCUCUAUACAGUCUCAUUUAUGAAGAACAUGUUUGAAAUGUCCCUUGGAGCUGGCUGUGAAUGACAGGACUUCAUUGAACAGCCUAUCACUUUGAGGUCUUUGUUAAAAUGCUUCUUCCUACCUCCAUAAUAUACAGAGUAAAUGGAGUGGCAGCAGCCAUGUUUGCUUUUGGCUGCCUCCCUUGGCUGGAAAUGUGUUGUCUACAUCUCUGCACUUCAUCGUUCAUCUCUGUAGAACAUGCUUUCUGAGUGCACAUCUCCG